ACCGAGACCUACAUUGUGGAAGUACAGGCGGGUCUCCUCUCAGUCAGGCUCCGAGCACCCUCCCACGCGCAGCUCUAUCGGCUCACGAUAACAUCUAAGUGCAGCUGCAGUGUGGACGGACUACGCGAAACGACCAGUUUUUUCUACAGGGCGUGAAGUGAUCAGCUGUUAGCGAAGCCUGCCAGCUGUUGCCAACUCACCACGCGGCGCACUCUCUCAUCACCGACUCGUGCUGCCGGUGCGGGCGCUACUUGUGGACAUCGGCAGAACCAAAGGCACAGAAUAAACUAUAGUCGCUGUCUCUCAAGCGUUCGACGUGCGUCGCAGCCGUCUCGGAGGGAGUUUAUCAUGUGCUUUGGUUAAUAGAGCUCACACGUCAUGAAAGAUAUCAUGGUAUGUUCGCUCUGAUAAAGUCAGAACACGACAGAUUGUAAUAUGAAGCUCCGUGACGUCAUUCGCUGUUACCUAACUGCGGCGUAUUGAAACAGUGAAAUUAAAGUAGUUGAAAAGCAAAUGAGUCAAGUGUGUGAACGUUGUUUGUUCAGGUGGUGGCGGCAUUGUGUCGGUAGCCUCGUCUGCCGCCGGUAGGUACCUACACGGAGACAGCACGCGGUCGCGGCGGACGCGGCCGUCGGCUCCCGGACAUGUGGGUACGUGCUCUAUAGGUACUACGUGUCGACACGUACAUGGAUGUGGCCCACGCACCGCAUGCCACGUGCGCGCCGGAAUGUGGAUACCUACUUCUGUUCCCGCAACUAUCUAUCAAUCCAUAACUUAACGGUAACAAUAACUUUACAAUAUUUGAAAAAAAAAGUUAUUUCUGCCAUGAAUGUACACAGUAGACAGUAGACAGGGCGCGGCCGGUGCGGGGCCCAGCUCAGCAGGUAUCUGACUCCACACUCGAUCUGCCCUUAUAAUUAUCAUACAUAUGUAUAUUAGCCUGUAGUAUUGCAGUAGAAACUGAAACUUUCUCAAAAGAGGAUCCCUAUUCACAAGACGUAAAUAAAAGCUUUCCAUAAUAAUAUAAUGAUAGGGCUGUAAACACGAGAUCUCUCCGUAAAAAGCAGCCUGUGUAGAGCGCGCCGCGCCGGGCCGGCUCUGACAACAGCACGGCGUCGUCGUCUGGCAUCAGACACAAACUAAGAGUGCUAACAGCAGUACCUACACGGUCUUGCGGCACAAGUAGGCAGAGCGGUGAUACCCACCCGGGAGGGCUUUUGUACCGACACACAAAUAAAUCUGUUUUAUGUUAGUUACCUACAUCAUAGAUCUGAUUCGCGAGCACGUGGCGUGUACCAGCGCGACGGUGGUCACUCACUAUCAAGUGCGCCGAGCGCCAACUGCUUUCGGCAACGAUAUUAGUACAUCGUUACCCGUAACAUGUCGUGUCGGAUCCUCUCGAUUCACUCUCGGUGCUAAGAGUUCGACAUCCAUCCUGACCCACUAAGUUUCUCGCCGGAUCUUCUCAGUGGGUCGGUGAUAGAUUUAGCGAAGCACUGCUCUUGCUAGGACUAGUGUUAGCAAGUUCUCUCAGGUUGAGCCCGUGAGAACCUGGAAUAGCCUCUCAAUGCUACUAGUGAUUAAGUACGGAAAUUUCCAUCGGUACCCGCAGGGUCGAGCCACGACAAUCGCAUAUCGCAAAUAAUAAAUCAAAAGUUCGUAUAGUAGGUACUAGUAGGUAGGUGGAUAGGUAGGUAGGUACCUGUAGACUAUGAAUUAACAUAUUUGUGUUUAGUGCGUCGCGUCGUGCUCCCGUACAUAAUAUAAUACAAAAAUAAAUAUAAUGUGUACGUUAUUAUGGUCUAUUACUAAAUAUUAUUUACUUGAUCUUGUUUACUUAAAAUUUCUGAGGAAUAGAUAAGACCGUAAAUAAAUGUUUGCUAAAAUGCAUUAAUUGAAUAUAAUGAGAGGUUAUUAAGUAAUGGUGUUUGUGAGGACAAAGAGACCACUAAUGAUUGGUUCGAUUAUUACUCAAAUUAUAAUGUUGUAUGAAUUUUUGGCGAUUUGAAAAAAAAGGGAACCCAAAAGAGAAAAAAAUUGAAUGAAGCAACUCAGUGGGCUUCUUAUAGGUAGGAGUCGUCAGGGAUGGAAGUGGGACAUUAGUCUAGGUCCUUCCUAGGCGCCCCCGCCUCACCCCCGGCACAAAGUAGCCUGCUGAGCAAACUCUCCCGCCUCGGAAAGGAAAAUAAAUAAAAUAUAACAGAUAAGUGCUUUGAAUAGAAAAGCGCUGUAUAGAAAAGUACUUUAAAUAUAUUGAGUAAAAAGCGAAAAAUGAUUAUAUUGAAUAUUCAAAACGUAUUAUAAAACCUCCUAAACGUAUUAUAUAAGUCUCAUGAGGAAGGAUAUACAUAUGUUUCUUCAAUUAUGGUUCCGUAUAAGUUGGCUGCAAUGUGGGAGUACACACACAGUAACCAGAAUAUAUUUGUAGAAAAUGUCUUUAAGCAUAUCUUUUUCUAAUACUAACAAAUUUUUUGGGGUAAUUAUUGACGUAUCUUUGUUAAAACAAAUGAGAGAGUUGUUUUCUGCAAAUUAAUUAAAUUAAGCCGUUUUUAUGCAAAACUUUUCUGAUACACUUGAAUUAUUACUAGUGUCAUUCGGCUCGCCGUUUACGCAGAAAAAUCUCCUACCCGUGCGAAGUCAGGACGGGUUGCUAGUAUGCUAUAGUAUAAGUUGGAUACCAGUAAAGACAUGUUCGAGACGUUUCUUUUUUUUUUUUAGUUUUUUUUUAUAGACACCCUAUGUUAUUUGUGCUCUGCGUAAGCCCUGUCCCGCCGUCUCAAUAGCUCCGACUGGGUUCCCGCCCGGUCCAGAGUAGGGCGCCGGCUGUGAGCGGCAGGAGUUUUUAAUGAGGUUCGACUCCCACAUACCCCACCUGCCGUGCGGGUGGGGAUCCGGAAUCGUCACCUCGUACAUAAUAAUAUGUUGAACGAUAUGACCGUAGAGACGACGCGUGUUCACACACACGGCGCGCGCCUUCGGGUGGAAGGGUAAAACAACCCGCUACUUCUUUAUUUUUUGUCUAUCUAAGCUGAUAGCCUUGAGAGGCUAUGUCAGCGUAUCCCUAACAAAUAGGUGAGCUCACGGGGCUCAAACCUGACAACGUUGCUAACACGAACCCUAGCAAGAGCCGUGCUUUUUCAGAAUCUAUCACCGGAUCGGAAGCGCGACCCACUGAGAAGAUCCGGCGAGAAAGUCAAUGGGCUGGGUCUGUGGAUCCGCCAAUUGAUUACGUCAACGCAACGAAAAUUACAAACUUUAUAGCUCUUUAGUAGGUCUGGGUUUUAAUUGCUAACAUAAGUGGCCGAACUUAUGGCCCACCUGAUGUUAAGUGGUUACCAGAGCCCAUAGACAUCACCCGGGUCAUUGCCGCCACCCUUCUUGAGACAUGACUUCUAAGGUCUCAAUUUUUACAGUACAACGGCUGCCCCACCCUUCAAACCGAAACACAUUACUGCUUCACGGCAGAAAUAAGCAGGGCGGUGGUACCUACCCGCGCGGACUCACAAGACCUUCUACCAGCUGUAGUUACGCGGUUUUUUUGCGAAUUUGUUUUGUUACACGAUGUUAUUCCUUCCCGUGGAAGUAAUUCUUGAACACUGUCAAGUGCGACGUAUUUUAUUCGAACAAUUGGUACCGGCGCAGUCGCGGCGCUCGAUGCAAGUGCACCGCCUUAUCCUCCAGAAAUCAUUUAAUGAAUCUAGUUUUAAUUCAAAUUAGUGGACUUCAAACGAAGACUACAUCGGAUUCGAACAACAUACUGUGAACUGGUGUCCCUAGUUGUUAUAUAUGUUCAGUAGAAUACCGGGUCUCAUAGAGCUGAAGCCACAAAUGACGAAAUACAAGCACUCGGCGUCACUUUCCUCCUGGAGUGUUCUAAUGCGAACAGUACGAGGAGUAUGGGCAGCUGCUUUGCUAUUAUACGGACGCUUAGAGUCGUUCUUCGAGAUGGCGCAGUAUUUAUUUACGUUUUAUCGUUUCCAGGGUGUCGCGGCUGUCGAGCAGUAAGUGCGACGUGAGCUGGUCCCUGCAGAGGCCCGGCUGGUGGCUGGCGGCUGUUGUUAGGCGAAGUUGGUUUGUGACCGUCACUAACGGGCAGUGUUAAUACGGUUGCUCGUUUUGGCGAUCGCAAAAUGAACUCGCUUGACUAUAAUCUACGAUCUGUCUCCCCGCCCCCCGCCUCCCGCCGCGCCCGCUCCCCCGCUCGUGAGCCGCGGACCAUGACAUAGAGAAGGUGGAAGGUGCGAGCGCGACUGGCGACUGGAAGAAAUGGACGCUACUGGUCGAGUACCGUCGGAUCGGCACAGCUCGAAGAACUCAUUGUCAAGCGUGCAACAGUCGUUUAAGCUAUAACACAAUGUAAUAGACAUAUAAGUUACGGUAAAAGUAGAUAUUGCGGCAAAUGUACACAUUUUCCGGUAAAUGUGCACAUUUGCCUCCUCGUUUGGGUAAUGUGCAUUCAACUAACAUUUACAAUUUUAAAGAAGGGAAAUAUACAUUAAAUUCACAAUGACCAUGUCGCUUUGGUAAAUGUGAGCAUGAGAUACAAAAUACGAAAUCGCAAGUGCAAGUAAUGUGGUGCGCAUGCGCAUACGCACAACUACAACCUAACCUUUUUUUUUUCCGGGCCGGGGGCCGAACCUCCUACGAGGUCCCCGCGCAUAAGGGGCGCGCGGGGUAUGUGAGACUCAACGAUCUGCAGGUGUUGAGAGCAGAUCGCGGGCCCAAGGAUUUUAGGGCCCACCCACUAAACGACUCCCCUGCACUCUUACACCCGACGUCAGAUCUCUGUCCGGGGUCAGAACCUGGUCAGAGUAGGGGGGUUCCCGCGGCUAACAGUACAACCAGACUCGCGGCGCCACCCCGAGGACGCCCAACCGACGGGGCGUCGAGGCGAUAGUCGACGACCAACGACGUCGGUCUCCGCGGUACGGCGCCCCUACCAGUCCGCCCGGGCGGUGCCGCUGGUGUUCCGGGAUACCCCGCUGGGCCAGAACCAGCCUGCCGGGAACUACAACCUAACCUAACCUAAUCUACGACAUGCUAUAUAAUAUGCAAAGAAAAGUAUGUUUUGUUUGUCAUUAACAUUUUUUAAUUAAAAUAAUUUUCGUUACUAAAGCCUUUUGUAUUAUAUUUAUUUCAAUAAUAUUUUUUUUACUGCAACAACAUUAUUAAUUUAUUUGUAUUCCAACUUUUCUUAAAACAUGAAGUUAAGAAAAACAUGAAGGCAAGCGUACACAUUUUCCGGGAAUGUACAUAUACAUUAUAUUCGGUUCACAUAUACCUAACUUUUUAGUAAAAGUGUACAUUUCCCAAGAGUGUACAUUUACCGUAACAUAUACACACAUAAUGUUGUUAACUUGUGUUAAAUAAUAAUUAAUAAAAUAAAAUAAAUAAAUAGUAUAUGUACUUUGAGUUUGGUGUGAAGUACUAGAGUUACAUUGUGAGAAUGACGGGCGUUAUAUUUAUUAAUAUCUUACAAAUAAUAAUAAUAUAUUUUAACAAAAUAAUAUUACUCAAAUGUGGUUCAUCAUUAAUGUAUGAUUGCAAUAGCUAAUACAUCGUUUAUGGUCAGUGCUCAGAGGACAGGAGGGCCCGCCCUCUCGGCGCGCUCCUACCGCUUGUUUCGUGUAUUAUAUUUAAUAGAACUUAUCUUCUUAGUACAUCAUAAAGGAGUUAGAAAUUCUAAGUUUAGUUUUCAUUGAGUUCUGGAGUUGUGAAAUCAUCAUUGCGCUCAUCAUCACUUAGAAGCCAUUUUAGGCGCAUAAGAAAACAAAAGUAUGUUAUUAAAACAAUCAUUUAUUAAUGAAGAAACAAACACAACCAUUAGUCCCUUUAUUUGUACGCCUAUUAUGUAAUUACAAAAUAAACUUAUGAAUAGAGUAAGCAA